rnacentral:rRNA from 1 species
UCCGUAGGUGGAUAAUUAAGUCAGAGGUGAAAUCCUGCAGCUCAACUGUAGAAUUGCCUUUGAUACUGGUUAUCUUGAGUUAUUAUGAAGUAGUUAGAAUAUGUAGUGUAGCGGUGAAAUGCAUAGAUAUUACAUAGAAUACCAAUUGCGAAGGCAGAUUACUAAUAAUAUACUGACACUGAGGGACGAAAGCGUGGGGAGCGAACAGGAUUAGAUACCCUGGUAGUCC